rnacentral:rRNA from 1 species
AUGGCGGCACCAGCACCUUCCCCGCAGCCGCUGCUGCUCCUGCUCCUCGUGGCGCUGCUGGCCGCCACCGCGCCCCGCCGCGCCGACGCGUGGGGCAAGGAGGGCCACAUCAUGGUCUGCAAGAUCGUAGAGAGGUACCUGUCGGAGGAUGCGGCGGCGGCGGUGCAGGACCUGCUGCCGGAGUCGGCCGGCGGGGAGCUGUCGACGAUGUGCCCGUGGGCGGACACCAUGCGCUUCCGCUACCACUGGGCCAGCCCGCUCCACUACGCCAACACCCCCAACGUCUGCAACUUCAACUUCUCACAUGCUAAGGAAGUUGGUUGA